rnacentral:rRNA from 1 species
GCAACGCCGCGUGAGGGAUGACGGCCUUCGGGUUGUAAACCUCUUUCAGUACCGACGAAGCGCAAGUGACGGUAGGUACAGAAGAAGCACCGGCCAACUACGUGCCAGCAGCCGCGGUAAUACGUAGGGUGCGAGCGUUGUCCGGAAUUAUUGGGCGUAAAGGGCUCGUAGGCGGUUUGUCGCGUCGGGAGUGAAAACACCGUGCUUAACACGGUGCUUGCUUUCGAUACGGGCAGACUAGAGGCAUGCAGGGGAGAACGGAAUUCCUGGUGUAGCGGUGAAAUGCGCAGAUAUCAGGAGGAACACCGGUGGCGAAGGCGGUUCUCUGGGCAUGUCCUGACGCUGAGGAGCGAAAGUGUGGGGAGCGAACAGGAUUAGAUACCCUGGUAGUCCACACCGUAAACGUUGGGCGCUAGGUGUGGGAUCCAUUCCACGGGUUCCGUGCCGCAGCUAACGCAUUAAGCGCCCCGCCUGGGGAGUACGGCCGCAAGGCUAAAACUCAAAGGAAUUGACGGGGGCCCGCACAAGCGGCGGAGCAUGCGGAUUAAUUCGAUGCAACGCGAAGAACCUUACCUGGGUUUGACAUACGCCGGAAAGCCUCAGAGAUGAGGCCCCUUUUGUCG